rnacentral:rRNA from 1 species
CGCGUAUACAAUCUGCCUUUAAGCGGGGAAUAUCCCAUGGAAACGUGGAUUAAUACCCCAUAGUAUGUAGACUUCACCUGGAGACUACAUUAAACAUUUAUGGCUUAAAGAUGAGUAUGCGUCCUAUUAGUUAGUUGGUAAGGUAACGGCUUACCAAGACCGCGAUAGGUAGGGGUCCUGAGAGGGAGAUCCCCCACACUGGUACUGAGACACGGACCAGACUCCUACGGGAGGCAGCAGUGAGGAAUAUUGGACAAUGGAGGCAACUCUGAUCCAGCCAUGCCGCGUGCAGGAAGACGGCCCUAUGGGUUGUAAACUGCUUUUAUACGGGAAGAACCACAUCUACGUGUAGAUGCUUGACGGUACCGUAUGAAUAAGGACCGGCUAACUCCGUGCCAGCAGCCGCGGUAAUACGGAGGGUCCAAGCGUUAUCCGGAAUCAUUGGGUUUAAAGGGUCCGUAGGCGGAAUAAUAAGUCAGUGGUGAAAGUCUGCAGCUCAACUGUAGAAUUGCCAUUGAUACUGUUAUUCUUGAAUUAUUAUGAAGUGGUUGGAAUGAGUAGUGUAGCGGUGAAAUGCAUAGAUAUUACUCAGAACACCUAUUGCGAAGGCAGAUCACUAAUAAUAUAUUGACGCUGAGGGACGAAAGCGUAGGUAGCGAACAGGAUUAGAUACCCUGGUAGUCUACGCCGUAAACGAUGGUUACUAGCUGUCCGGCCUAAUUGAGGGCUGGGUGGUUAAGCGAAAGUGAUAAGUAACCCACCUGGGGAGUACGUUCGCAAGAAUGAAACUCAAGGG